GGCGUAGCUCAGUGACAGGGCGUCUGCUUUGCAAGCAGAAGGUCUUGGGUUCAAUCCUCAGCAUCUCCA